GAUUGCCAUAUACAACAGAAGAUACUAAAAAUGGUGUGCUACCAACUAUUAAGUGUUUUGAUUGUGUUUUGGAAGUCAACCACAUGAAAUGGAUUAUUUCUUAUUUAACGAGAUCAGCUAUGCCAGCUGUCAAACACAAAGCCUGGUAGCAUACUCUGGCUUUCACAUUCAAUCAUGUGAUACAAUUACUCAUUUAAAGCACUUUAUCCCUUCAUCAACUGUCAGUUCGGAUCUGACAAACGUGGUUUAUUACUCUGUGUCGUGUGACCAACAAAACUCACCACCGUUUCAGCAAUCUUCCUGCCAUUCCUACCUACCAACCAACACACAUACACAUGGACCCAAAAACCAUUUUCCCGUGGACUGCCAAGUCUUUACUUUCUUCUUCGUAAUUCCUGGCCCCACAAUCUUUUUCGUCUUUUGUUAACAGCUAGCUAGGGCAUUUUCCUUUUUUGUCCCAUGUAAAAAGACCUUCAAGAUUACAGUCUCUAAGUAUUAAUUCUCUCAAGCCAUGUAAACGUAAGUUUCCAUUUGCCCGUUCAAAUGUAAUAUUGUAAUAUCGUUGUUUGUUAUUUAGGUAGCGC